GACGAACGCUGGCGGCGUGCCUAAUACAUGCAAGUCGAGCGAAGUUUUUCUGGUGCUUGCACUAGAAAAACUUAGCGGCGAACGGGUGAGUAACACGUAAAGAACCUGCCUCAUAGACUGGGACAACUAUUGGAAACGAUAGCUAAUACCGGAUAACAGUAUUUCUCACAUGGGAGAUAUUUAAAAGUUGGUUAUGCUAACACUAUGAGAUGGCUUUGCGGUGCAUUAGCUAGUUGGUGGGGUAAAGGCCCACCAAGGCGACGAUGCAUAGCCGACCUGAGAGGGUGAUCGGCCACACUGGGACUGAGACACGGCCCAGACUCCUACGGGAGGCAGCAGUAGGGAAUCUUCCGCAAUGGGCGAAAGCCUGACGGAGCAACGCCGCGUGAGUGAAGAAGGAUUUCGGUUCGUAAAGCUCUGUUGUUAGGGAAGAAUGGAUAUGUAGUAACUAUACAUGUAAGAGACGGUACCUAAGCAGAAAGCCACGGCUAACUACGUG
rnacentral:rRNA from 1 species